CCCUUUUUGCCGCCAAGACCGAGAAGAAAUUUUCCUGUAUGGCUUUUAAUCAAGCCGACGAACAAAAUAAUGCGCAUGUUAAAGCAGAUGGUGGUGCUGUUAGAUUGACGGAAAAUCCGGGAGCGCUUCAUAGAUGGAUGGGUGCUGGGCCUGAAAUGGCUAGUUUGGUAAAUGAAUUUGAAAAUGUCACUGAAUGCUUUGUAUACACUAACGAAUCUAAUAAACCUCAUCAUGAAAAAAUAUUAUCCUUCCAAGA
rnacentral:lncRNA from 1 species